UACGUAGGGUGCAAGCGUUGUCCGGAAUUAUUGGGCGUAAAGAGCGUGUAGGCGGCCCGAUUAGUCCGCUGUGAAAGUCCAGGGCUCAACCCUGGAAUGCCGGUGGAUACUGUCGGGCUAGAGUCCGGAAGGGGCGAGUAGAAUUCCUGGUGUAGCGGUGAAAUGCGCAGAUAUCAGGAGGAAACACCAAUGGCGAAGGCAGCUCGCUGGGACGUGACUGACGCUGAGACGCGAAAGCGUGGGGAGCAAACAGG
rnacentral:rRNA from 1 species